rnacentral:rRNA from 1 species
UGAAAUAGCGCACUGAAGUAAAUAAAAGCAGAGACCAAACCUCGUACCUUUUGCAUCAUGAUCUAGCCAGUAAUCCCAAGCGAAGAGAUCUCUAGUUUGAACCCCCGAAACCGGACGAGCUACUCCGGGACAGCCUAUUGUAGGGCCAACCCGUCUCUGUGGCAAAAGAGUGGGAAGAUCCCCGAGUAGAGGUGAAAGACCUACCGAGUCAGGUUAUAGCUGGUUGCCCAAGAAAUGAAUAGAAGUUCAGCCCCGUUUAACCCUUAUCCACCGCAGUUUCACUAAAAUUAGGUAACAGGAUACUAACGGGAGUUAGUCAAAGGAGGUACAGCUCCCUUAACAAAGGAUACAACCUUCACAGGAGGCUAAGGGAUACACUAAACCAAGGCCACAGGUUUCAGUGGGCCUAAAAGCAGCCAUCUGAAUAGAAAGCGUUAAAGCUCAGACCGAAUCAAGCCUAUUAUAACAUUAAACACCCUCAAUGCCCCUAACCAAUACUGGGCCCCCCUAUGCCCGCAUAGGAGAGACCAUGCUAGAACGAGUAAUAAGAAGAAUGAACUUCUCCCCGCACAUGUGUAAGUCGAAUCGGACCCGCCAUCGACAAUUAACGAACCCAACAAAAGAGGGAAAUGCACUACUGCCGCACCAGGCCAAGAAGGACACGCAGACUACCCAUCGUUACCCCCACACAGGAGUGCUUAUUAAAGGGAAAGACUUAAAGAAUAAAAAGGAACUCGGCAAACCUAAACCUCGCCUGUUUACCAAAAACAUCGCCUCCUGCCCAUAUGAAUAUAGGAGGUCCCGCCUGCCCUGUGACCAAAAGUUUAACGGCCGCGGUAUUUUAACCGUGCAAAGGUAGCGCAAUCAAUUGUCUUUUAAAUGGAGACCUGUAUGAAUGGCAUAACGAGGGUUUAACUGUCUCUUUUUUCUGGUCAAUGAAACUGAUCUGCCCGUGCAGAAGCGGACAUAACAACACAAGACGAGAAGACCCUAUGGAGCUUUAGACGCCCACCAACCAUGAAAAGCACUCCAGCUUAACGGACCCCCAAACAACAUGGUUCUGGUACAAACGUCUUCGGUUGGGGCGACCACGGGGGAGAGCAAAGCCCCCGAGAGGAUUGGGGGAAACCCUAAAACCAAGAGCCACAGCUCUAAGUCACAAAACAUUUGACCAAUAAUGAUCCGGCUUAUUGCCGAUCAACGGACCAAGUUACCCUAGGGAUAACAGCGCAAUCCCCUCCCAGAGUCCAUAUCGACGAGGGGGUUUACGACCUCGAUGUUGGAUCAGGACAUCCUAAUGGUGCAGCCGCUAUUAA